UACGUAGGUGGCAAGCGUUGUCCGGAAUCAUUGGGCGUAAAGGGCGCGUAGGUGGCUUCUUAAGCGUGCGGUGAAAGCCUGGGGCUCAACCCCGGGUCGGCCGUGCGAACUGGGGGGCUGGAGCACUGUAGAGGCAGGCGGAAUUCCGGGUGUAGCGGUGGAAUGCGUAGAGAUCCGGAAGAACACCGGUGGCGAAGGCGGCCUGCUGGGCAGUGGCUGACGCUGAGGCGCGACAGCGUGGGGAGCAAACAGG
rnacentral:rRNA from 1 species